UAAAAGCUAAGGACACCAAGCCACAGAGGA
rnacentral:piRNA from 1 species